UGAAAGAUAUUUUGAGACGGAGCUAAAGUUGAAACUCAUCAUCCCACCACUGCAGUACCGUGCUGCCAAACAUGUAGAUCAUAAACCAGUGCCAAACCUGGGGAUUUAAGAGACAACUCACAAUAAGAUACGUAUUAAGGUCAUGUGAGUGGCAUCUUUAAGAGUGAAUUUGGUGAACCAGUCCAGAAGAUGGCAGUAAGAGUCUGAUGCUGCAGUGCCCUUGAUCACAGAGCCUUGGUGUGUCGUCUCUACACAAACACUGAGUCUGAGUAUUAUUGCUCGUCUGUCCCGAUGUCAUUCCAGAGAAAUCCCCCGUCAGUCUCUGGGUCCCGCUCCAGCUGUUGUUUCCAUAUUGUCUUUUAAA